rnacentral:rRNA from 1 species
UACGGAGGGGGCUAGCGUUGUUCGGAAUUACUGGGCGUAAAGCGUACGUAGGCGGCUUUGUAAGUUAGAGGUGAAAGCCCGGGGCUCAACCCCGGGAGGCGGGCGGAUACUGUCGAGCUAGAGUCCGGAAGAGGCGAGUGGAAUUCCUGGUGUAGCGGUGAAAUGCGCAGAUAUCAGGAGGAACACCAAUAGCGAAGGCAGCUCGCUGGGACGGUACUGACGCUGAGACGCGAAAGCGUGGGGAGCAAACAGG